rnacentral:rRNA from 1 species
AAAAGGGAUCAUACCAGCGUUAAUGCACCGGAUCCCAUCAGAACUCCAUAGUUAAGCGUGCUUGGGCUAGAGUAGUACUGGGAUGGGUGACCUCCCGGGAAUUCCUAGUGUUGCACCCU